GUUACUUGACUGGUACCUCCAGCCCACCAGCAGGCAAUGAUGGCAUCAGACUAGAGGAUCACCAGUAAAUCAUUGUAAACAUUCUUGAAUAUGAGUCAGUCUGGUAUGAACAUACCUCUAACAGCCUCGCAUACACACUUGCUGAUCUCCCCCUUACAAGCAACAGAAAACAGGUCUUGACCCAGAGCCUUCAACAAACAAGCGUGGAAAGAGAGAAAGUCCACUUUAAGCGAUGGAAAAUCAGCCCCAAUUCUGAAGGAACAACCAUGAACAGAUGAUUUAAGGAGAAUCAAUUCUUUGCUCUUUGCAGAAGGAGCCAACAGAGUGAGAUGAAGGGGACAACUUCAGAUACUCAGGCAGAAGCAUAAGUCCCCACCUGCUGACCUGCUGCCUGCUAUCUUAACACGAAUUCUUCAUCUGAAUGGAUGAGCUUUUCACAGAGUUCCAAACUAAGGAAUCCAGGAGUGGCCAAUCCAGAGAUUCAUUCCUUAUCUUUGACGAACAUCUGAACUCCUGGCUCAUCCUGUGGAAUUCAGGCCAUACAGGAGAUCAAGGUCAUUUGCUUUGGGUUAAAUGAAUGUUGCCAGGUGGAGGUUGCUAGAGGGAGAGUGCUAUGUGAAAGUGCUGUAUAAACUGCUUGCUUUUCACAAACAGUAGUGAUUCUUUAUCCUGUCCAGCCUGCCACAACUGGACCAUCCUGUAUGUAAGUCCCCUUAAUAAAUCCUGUGUCUCAUUCA
rnacentral:lncRNA from 1 species